rnacentral:rRNA from 1 species
ACCAGUACCGUGAGGGAAAGGCGAAAAGAACCCCGGCGAGGGGAGUGAAAAAGAACCUGAAACCGUGUACGUACAAGCAGUGGGAGCACGCUUAGGCGUGUGACUGCGUACCUUUUGUAUAAUGGGUCAGCGACUUAUAUUCUGUAGCAAGGUUAACCGAAUAGGGGAGCCGAAGGGAAACCGAGUCUUAACUGGGCGUUAAGUUGCAGGGUAUAGACCCGAAACCCGGUGAUCUAGCCAUGGGCAGGUUGAAGGUUGGGUAACACUAACUGGAGGACCGAACCGACUAAUGUUGAAAAAUUAGCGGAUGACUUGUGGCUGGGGGUGAAAGGCCAAUCAAACCGGGAGAUAGCUGGUUCUCCCCGAAAGCUAUUUAGGUAGCGCCUCGUGAAUUCAUCUCCGGGGGUAGAGCACUGUUUCGGCAAGGGGGUCAUCCCGACUUACCAACCCGAUGCAAACUGCGAAUACCGGAGAAUGUUAUCACGGGAGACACACGGCGGGUGCUAACGUCCGUCGUGAAGAGGGAAACAACCCAGACCGCCAGCUAAGGUCCCAAAGUCAUGGUUAAGUGGGAAACGAUGUGGGAAGGCCCAGACAGCCAGGAUGUUGGCUUAGAAGCAGCCAUCAUUUAAAGAAAGCGUAAUAGCUCACUGGUCGAGUCGGCCUGCGCGGAAGAUGUAACGGGGCUAAACCAUGCACCGAAGCUGCGGCAGCGACGCUGAUGCGUUGUUGGGUAGGGGAGCGUUCUGUAAGCCUGUGAAGGUGUGCUGUGAGGCAUGCUGGAGGUAUCAGAAGUGCGAAUGCUGACAUAAGUAACGAUAAAGCGGGUGAAAAGCCCGCUCGCCGGAAGACCAAGGGUUCCUGUCCAACGUUAAUCGGGGCAGGGUGAGUCGACCCCUAAGGCGAGGCCGAAAGGCGUAGUCGAUGGGAAACAGGUUAAUAUUCCUGUACUUGGUGUUACUGCGAAGGGGGGACGGAGAAGGCUAUGUUGGCCGGGCGACGGUUGUCCCGGUUUAAGCGUGUAGGCUGGUUUUCCAGGCAAAUCCGGAAAAUCAAGGCUGAGGCGUGAUGACGAGGCACUACGGUGCUGAAGCAACAAAUGCCCUGCUUCCAGGAAAAGCCUCUAAGCAUCAGGUAACAUCAAAUCGUACCCCAAACCGACACAGGUGGUCAGGUAGAGAAUACCAAGGCGCUUGAGAGAACUCGGGUGAAGGAACUAGGCAAAAUGGUGCCGUAACUUCGGGAGAAGGCACGCUGAUAUGUAGGUGAAGCGACUUGCUCGUGGAGCUGAAAUCAGUCGAAGAUACCAGCUGGCUGCAACUGUUUAUUAAAAACACAGCACUGUGCAAACACGAAAGUGGACGUAUACGGUGUGACGCCUGCCCGGUGCCGGAAGGUUAAUUGAUGGGGUCAGCGCAAGCGAAGCUCUUGAUCGAAGCCCCGGUAAACGGCGGCCGUAACUAUAACGGUCCUAAGGUAGCGAAAUUCCUUGUCGGGUAAGUUCCGACCUGCACGAAUGGCGUAAUGAUGGCCAGGCUGUCUCCACCCGAGACUCAGUGAAAUUGAACUCGCUGUGAAGAUGCAGUGUACCCGCGGCAAGACGGAAAGACCCCGUGAACCUUUACUAUAGCUUGACACUGAACAUUGAGCCUUGAUGUGUAGGAUAGGUGGGAGGCUUUGAAGUGUGGACGCCAGUCUGCAUGGAGCCGGCCUUGAAAUACCACCCUUUAAUGUUUGAUGUUCUAACGUUGACCCGUGAUCCGGGUUGCGGACAGUGUCUGGUGGGUAGUUUGACUGGGGCGGUCUCCUCCUAAAGAGUAACGGAGGAGCACGAAGGUUGGCUAAUCCUGGUCGGACAUCAGGAGGUUAGUGCAAUGGCAUAAGCCAGCUUGACUGCGAGCGUGACGGCGCGAGCAGGUGCGAAAGCAGGUCAUAGUGAUCCGGUGGUUCUGAAUGGAAGGGCCAUCGCUCAACGGAUAAAAGGUACUCCGGGGAUAACAGGCUGAUACCGCCCAAGAGUUCAUAUCGACGGCGGUGUUUGGCACCUCGAUGUCGGCUCAUCACAUCCUGGGGCUGAAGUAGGUCCCAAGGGUAUGGCUGUUCGCCAUUUAAAGUGGUACGCGAGCUGGGUUUAGAACGUCGUGAGACAGUUCGGUCCCUAUCUGCCGUGGGCGCUGGAGAACUGAGGGGGGCUGCUCCUAGUACGAGAGGACCGGAGUGGACGCAUCACUGGUGUUCGGGUUGUCAUGCCAAUGGCACUGCCCGGUAGCUAAAUGCGGAAGAGAUAAGUGCUGAAAGCAUCUAAGCACGAAACUUGCCCCGAGAUGAGUUCUCCCUGACUCCUUGAGAGUCCUGAAGGAACGUUGAAGACGACGACGUUGAUAGGCCGGGUGUGUAAGCGCAGCGAUGCGUUGAGCUAACCGGUACUAAUGAACCGUGAG